rnacentral:lncRNA from 1 species
UCCACAUCUAUUGCCUCAAUUGACAUCCUUAUAUCUAAGAGAUAUCAUUAAAUGACAUGAAUCAAGUUAUUGGUUGCAUUUAUUCCUCACUUAUGUCCUCUCUUUCAAGAAUUACAUGGGUUCUAGGGUGGUUGGAGUUUGCACCCCCCAACUCUUAGUUAAUUCAUGAAAUAAAUGCAACACCCAUCACAACUUACUAAUUAGAAAAAUAAUUAGCUAAAACCCAUGCACUAUCAUUACCUAAGCAAGCAUAACCCCAAGAUUAAAAAUUAGCUACUCAUAGAUAAAAGGGAUAAGAAUAUAUCAAAGUUAUCAUUAACUUCAUCCAUGAGAAAUAGAGACAGUGUAGUUCCACACUUGGAGUUUCAAUAAUUCUUCAAUGGAAAAUCACUAACAUAUAUUUUUCAUUCAAGCUUAGUACAAAAUGCUCAAAAGAUGAAAAGAUGGAUGCUAAAAGAGAAGAGAGAAGCUAAAAAGCUAAAAGAGAUGCUAUCUUCAAAAAGAUGAAAACCGGGUCUUAAAAAAGGAGUUAAAACCCUCCUUUUAAACUCCACUCUUGAUGAAAAUUAUAAAACUGCCACCUUAUUCUUGAUCUGCUUGAGCGUAUCCAAAGCGGAUGAAGAGCAGACAGAGAGAAGAUGGCUAGCAGCUCCAAAGCAGAUGUGAAGCGGAUGCAAAGCAGGUGCAAAGCGGAUGACUCAUUUCCUUCACAUUUGGCCUCUUGAUGACUUGAAUGACUUGUCCAAUCUUCUCUUUUUACUUUUACCUACAUAAAUGAGCAUUACGUAAGAGAGUACCAUCAAAUCAAAGAAAAAACAUGAUAAUUUAAGCUUAAAAGGUGCUAGCAAGUCGUCAAAUUGACGACUUAUCACCCCUUGCACAAUAGCUCUAUCACCUACCUCGUUCAAUAAUUUGUAAAAGUUGGCUUGUCAUCUUUGCUUGGUGAGUGUCUCAUCACCAGUACCUUAUAGUCCUCAUCCUCGAUACACUUCACUUGAUGUAGGUCUUGGGCCUUCCUCUCUCUUGUCAGCUGCUAAAAAAGCUAAACAUUACGUAUGACACAUAUUUUUGUGCUCUAUAUUCGUAUGUCAUAUCAAUACGAAUGAGAUCUCUAAAGCAGUCUGCAAAAGAAAGGUGAAUACAAAAAUUUCAAUACAAAGCAAAAAAAAUUAUGUGAUGUAUUAAACAAAAGUGUACAGAGCACUAAAUUGGUGCUUUAUCUUUUUUUUUUUUAAUCAUAGAGCAUAAUGUUUGUGCUCUAUUCAUUUAUUUUAAAUACAUAACUCUUGUAUAUGAAAAAAUAUAGGAUAGAACAUAAUUUAGUACUUUAUAUAAACAAAA